ensembl:lncRNA
GCGCUUUUACAGUCAGACUACAUACCCACAAGUCAGUCAUGUCAGAGUCUGCGAUUUUCAACCCUACACUAGUCCCGAGGAGAAGUGUUCCAGCUCUACAGACCUCAGCAAGGAUUUUAAACAAUGACACCUCCACAAACAUCACAGCCACCACGGAAGACCCCACGAUCGGUAUGGCUUCCAGUGCUGAAUCAGUUUAUGCUGUUCUGUUGGGAGUCUCUGUAAUAGCAGCGGUUGUGAUUGUACUGCUAAUUAUGUUAGUGGUUCUCCGCUUCAUGGCACAUCAGAAAGGCACAUAUUACACCCACGAGGAGAGCUUGGCAUUUAAGAGCGACCCUGAGGUGCAGGAGGUCACCGAAGAUCCGGAAGAUCCAGAAGAAGAGGAGCCUUAG